GGGAAAUGGUAAGAAGCCUGCCACACCAAUUUGGACUGGCCUAGCCCUCCGUCCAAGAUAGACAUGAUGCUGAUUCCAGGGAUCAACCUAUGAGAAACUGUUCUGUACCAUCUUGGAUCUUCAGAAACAUGAGUCUAGCUGAAAAGAUAAGAAGGAAGUAAGAAACCUAAAGGCCUAAUUAUGCCUCUGAGAGAAGUGGUUUGGCAUCUCCAUCCCUGGAGGAAUGAUGUAGCACACACCAAGGCUUUAUGAACAGACAGCUUCCAGCCCAGGUUACAAAGCCUUGGGGACUACAGCAGAAAGCCAGCAUGUCAUAAUCACAAGUGUGACGAAAAUCACUCUCUUCCUGUCUCUGAAUGUGACUCCGUGAGAUGCUCAAGAGGCCCCUGCAAUCAAGCACAUCCCUGGCACCUCUUCAGUGGAAGCUCCUCUGACACCCAUCAAGUUGGUCGUCAUUAAUGCCUUAUUCCCAUCUUCAUUGGCUCCCUGGCUGCACCCUUUGGCUUUAAACUCUCCUAAAGAUGGCUGUCCUGUUAUGAAGGCUGCUUGCUAACUGUUUAAAGUCUGCUCGGAUCUUCUAUUAUGGGCAUUCUGUCCUGUCAACUCAUCUGAUGUCAACCAGCAUGAACCACGUUACUAGCUUGCAUUGCCUCUUGGUCACAUAAGCCCCUCGAACUUUUAUCUGUAUAUUGUCCUAGAGAACAUGAGGCACGAAUCCUCUCUUUUCUUUAUCUCCGUGCACAGUUUCCCG
rnacentral:lncRNA from 1 species